AGCACAACAUAAUUUGGUUUUCCUAUUCUACCCUCACUCACAAAACAAGGCGGAGAACAAAACCACGUUAUCAGCUCAUUAGGGUUUCUGUCUUUCACAUCCGCCCCAUUUCUUCUCUCUCUCUCUCUCACCAGGCGAUAACCCUUGAUCCAUGGAUUUCACUGCCGAAUUCACUGGAUCGACGGAUUUCACCCGCGAAUCCACAUCUCAGGGUUUUUUCUCCGGCUAUGACCCUAGAGCGAUGGAUUUCACUGGCGUUUUCAAAUCUCAGGGUUUCUUUCUCCGGCGAUAACCCUAGAGAUAGAUGGAUUUCACCGGCGUUUUCACAUCUAAGGUUUAUGGAUGAAGACGAUAAAGAACUUAUCUCUGUCUCCAAAACCAGUGAUAAAAUAAGAAGUUGAGUUCUGUACUUAUCCAUUAAGUAGUUGAUAUAUAAGUAGCCAUUUAUGGUUCUUUAUGAUGAGCCCUCAUGAUUUAAGGCUCUUUUGGAGUGAAGUAUAAGUCAAAGUAUCUCUUAAACCAUCAAAAUUUUCUACAAUUUUUUUUAUUCCAGAUUUUUAAGGCUCUUUAUGUUUCAGAUUUUAAGUGGCUGAGGUUUGACCAUCACCGUAAUUAUUCAUAUUUUAAGUGGGUGAGGUUUGCCCUCAACAGUCAAAAUAAAAUUAUGACUGGAUUUGAUUUUGAUAGUGAUGUUGAAUGGUCCAGUUGUGUCAUUCUUUUGCAAAUUUGUGAUGUAUUAGUACUUUACCCUUAUUCUGCAAAUGAAAUCAUCAAUUGCGUGGUGAUUUGUUGGCCACGGGUAGAGGGGUAAGAUCGAAGGCACAGUUACGCGAGAUGCCGAACAAUGAGUCCAGGUCACAACCAUAGGCAUGAUAGCAGGAUGUUUGUUCUUACUUUACAAAGCUUUACGAGGUUGAUGGUUUGGAUGCUUUUUCUGUCAAACAAGCUUGCAAAAUAGCAAAGGGACAUGCCUUGAAGAACGGAUCCAUUGUAAGCAGUCAUAGCUUUUCUAAAUUCACUCUUUAUUAACCGGUUACAAUUUCGGUUAUUAUUCGGUUAUAUAGGAUCGGCUUUUCUUGGCCCUGUUAGAUCUGUUCUUGUGCAUCCUCAUAUGCAGAAUGUUCCCUCACUUAAUCGUCUCAUGCUCACUAAAGCAAAGGUCAACUCUUUUAUACAUUGUUUUGUUGAAGUUCAAAAGAUCACAUCAUUACAUGACUUGGAGAUAGAAAUAUGUAAAAGUGAAAGGGUCAAGAGCUUUGAAGAACUUAAACUUAAACUGGGACCCAUUCCGAGGUCACAGAAAUUUGCAAAAUUACAAGUGAACAAAUUUUUGCGUACCUCAGCCGACUCCCUCGCAAAAAAGAAAAAGGAAGGACCUCCGUAGAUGACUUAUUUGAUUUUAUAGCAAAUGUUUAUACAAGGCAUACCCUGCAAUAACAAUAUUUUUAUUAUUUUUAUUUUAUAUGAUGUAUAUGAUCAUACUAUAAUGACAGACAUAAACUUUCACUUGCCAA